CGGGUGGCUCCAGCAGUGAGGAAUAUUGCACAAUGGGGGGAACCCUGAUGCAGCAACGCCGCGUGGAGGAUGACGCAUUUCGGUGUGUAAACUCCUUUUAUAUGUCAAGAAAAUGACGGUAGCAUAUGAAUAAGCACCGGCUAACUCCGUGCCAGCAGCCGCGGUAAUACGGAGGGUGCAAGCGUUACUCGGAAUCACUGGGCGUAAAGGACGCGUAGGCGGGUUGGAAAGUCAGGUGUGAAAUCCUACAGCUUAACUGUAGAACUGCACUUGAAACUUCUAAUCUAGAGUAUGGGAGGGGGAGAUGGAAUUAGUGGUGUAGGGGUAAAAUCCGUAGAUAUCACUAGGAAUACCUAAAGCGAAGGCGAUCUCCUGGAACAUUACUGACGCUAAGGCGUGAAAGCGUGGGGAGCAAACAGGAUUAGAUACCCGGGUAGUC
rnacentral:rRNA from 1 species